GCCGGUUUUCAACCCAGCUGCACCCCACUCUACACAGCGCUCACCCCCACCCACCCCACUCCAUCUGUGACGCCGCCGAUCGCCUCCCUGACAGGUCCGUGCACGCAGCCCCGCCGCCGCCGGAGGAGGAAACCCCACGACAAGGUUUCACUGUGGGGCGAGCGAAUGCACCGUCACUGCGAAGGCGAACGUUCAGGGGAGAGGAGGUGCAUUCCUAGAGCACGUGAGAGCGAAUCGCCCUCUUGGUAGUCCCAAGCCCAGAGCCAUCUUCAGGGCAGUCGUUCAAAUCACUAAUGAGGUAAUGAGUUACCAAAUAAGUGUACAUUAUAUAGAUAUAUAUAUAUGCGGCUUUAGAGUCACAGUAAAAUUUCGAGGAAGGAAAAACACACAUAUUCUUGCUUCCGCUUAUGCAUAGCCUUCCUCGGUAGAACAGGGAGGGCAUUUGUAGCAGCUGUCGAACCCGCAAUAACAUACCAUUGUCACCUAGAGUCCAUAGAUUGUCUUGGGGUUCGUUUUGAGUAUUGUACAGUCUAUGAGUUCUGACAAAUAAUGCCAUAACGAUGCACCUUAUAGUUCAUACCGAAUGGUUUCACUGCCCUGAAAAUCCUGAGCAGGACUUUUCCUGCCUCUUUCUUUUGCCCCCUUCUUGGUAGUAAAAGAUUUAAGAAUCCAGCUGACUCUUCAGACAUAUCCCUAUGCCUUACAAAGAAGCCUUCCGAAAUAGGAAAUGAGGACAGAAGAAAAUAAUGAAAUGAGAGGAGAAUUCUAAAACAAAGGAAGCCAAUAGAGGAGCCUGGACAACUGGUUCAACCAGCAAGAUACAACAAAGUUCAAUAAUCUUUGGAAAAUCGUUAACUAAAAAGUUAAGUCUUCCUGAUGUUUUGUUUUGUUUGUUUUUUUCAAAUCAUUCAUCAGAUCUCUAUUUGGGCCAUCUUGAAAUAUCUAAUAUCACCAUUACCAGUCUAACAAUAAUAAAUGAUAUUGCCAUACCUAAUUUUCUUUAAAUUUGCUUUCAUGUGCUCCAAUGUAAUAUAUUUUAAAUUCUAAAGUAAUAAGCAUGUCAUCUCAUUGAUAUUAUUGGUAUAAAUGCUAGCUCCCCCUUAGAGUUAUCACCCUAAAUAGUAUUAUCUUUCAUGACACCUAAUGUUAGCAAAGAAAAUUAGAUUCCUAUACAACUUCUUAUCUAUAAAGAUGACUUAGAAUUGAAUUUUUAUGUCCUUUUAUUUUCAUUAGCCGCUUAAAUUCACUUGUUUUUAAAUUUCAUUACUUCUAAGAAAAAGGAGCCAUUGAAAAUCAGAGACCUGACUCAAAGUAGACACCCUGAAUCCUGUUUAGAUAUCAGUUGUUUCACUUUGCCCCCGCCCAGGUUCUCUGAAUAUGUUUCUCCUCUCACAGAGCAGAUGACACAAUUCAAUGACACCACACAUUCUCGGGGAGGAAGUAAAAGAGAACAGUGGAACAAAGCACCAGCACAAGGCACUGGCAUCUCCUGAAUCUCGUCCCUGUGUGUGUCGUUUUAGCCUCCACACAACUCUCGGGUGUAGGCAGACAUCACUUAGCAGAAAGAGAAACUAAGGCACAAAGAGAGUGAGCCACUUUACCAGGGCUAAAGUCACCAGUAAGUGGUGAUAGGCACCAGAACCUCUACAGUGUUAGGCACUGUGCUAAAUAUUGCACCCUAGAAAAAAGAACAAGUCCUUGUCUCCAUCUCUCCCGUGGCACUCAUGCAGAAGAGAGAAAGUUCUGAUACAUCGUAAAUAGCCCGUCUGAAUUCCUUCAGUUCUACCUUUUUCAUCCGCAGGAAAUCAUGAUGCUUUCUUGUCAUCUGCAUAAGAGGCUUUUUGAUCACUUUUCCCCAUGUCAACUAACCUACGACCACAACAAAACAAGAUGCUCACAUGUCCCCUGGGAGCCACUCCUUGGGGAUGAAGUAGAAAUCCUCUUAAGAGAUCUGAAACAAGAAAUGACAAUAUUCUCUAGAGGUCUUAAACAAUAUCUGGUAAUAUUUUCAACACUUGAUCUUUUAACAAUGACUCCACUUAGCUUAAAAAAAAAAAAAACUGAUGGUGAUUCAUUACCCGAAGCCACCUCAAGUGGAA